CCUACGGGCGGCAGCAGUGGGGGAUAUUGCACAAUGGGGGGAACCCUGAUGCAGCGACGCCGCGUGGGUGAAGAAGCGCCUCGGCGCGUAAAGCCCUGUCAGCAGGGAAGAAAAUGACGGUACCUGAAGAAGAAGCCCCGGCUAACUACGUGACAGCAGCCGCGGUAAUACGGAGGGGGCAAGCGUUAUCCGGAUGUACUGGGUGUAAAGGGGGCGCAGGCGGCGGUGCAAGCCAGGAGUGAAAGCCCGGGGCUCAACCCCGGGACUGCUCUUGAAACUGCGUGGCUGGAGUGCAGGAGGGGCAGGCGGAAUUCCUGGUGUAGCGGUGAAAUGCGUAGAUAUCAGGAGGAACACCGGUGGCGAAGGCGGCCUGCUGGGCUGCAACUGACGUUGAGGCCCGAAAGCGUGGGGAGCAAACAGGAUUAGAUACCCUUGUAGUC
rnacentral:rRNA from 1 species